CUCAACAGAACUUGCAGAUUAUGGAUGGUUCUGAUAUCCUCUUUCUCACCAACAAAACAAGUUCCCAUGAAAUUUCUGGUAUUAAAGUCAAGUUUGUGACCAAUGCAAAAUAUUUUUAGCCAAUAAUGAGUUGGAGUUUUAGCCAUAUAAGGAGGAACACCUAAGCUGUAAGAGCUUCAAUUUCUUUUACUUGAUGCUUAUUUUAUUUAUGUGUUUGAACUGAUAUUUUGAGACAAUGCAAGUUGUCAACAGAUUUGCCUUAUUGGUCUAUUCAUAUGAUGGUUCAACGCAAAAUUGAAGGAAUCUUUUGAAUACCUUUUCUGGGCUCUGGCAAUUCAGUCUUGGUGGAGAAGUAAGUUACCUUUGACUUAUUAUUAUGAUUUUAGGUUCAUCUAAUGCUUAUUUUUUCUAGAUUUAUCAAAGAAAUUCCGAGAGUUGCUCGUAUCUCAAAUCUUGUGGUAUGAACACAUGGAGCUGGAGGCAAGCGUUUGACGGC
rnacentral:lncRNA from 1 species